CACCGAUAAUGGCAAACCUGCCCGAAAGGCAGGGACGCAAAGCUAAAGGGCCUAAGCUUCGUUAGAAGUAUGGCAGCCAGCUACCGAA
rnacentral:ncRNA from 3 species